AAUUAAAAGCAAAGAAGAAGAAGAAGAGUGCAAAUGAUGCUCCAUGGAUUCCUAAAGCCCAAGGGGUCCCAAGCCUCCCAAAGUCAGCUAGAGAAGGAACCAUCGCAUCUUCCAUGGAUUCGAGAAUGGCUGGCACAGCUACAAAGUUAUCCCAACAGGGUCCCAGGCCUAUAGCGUCAACAUUUAUCUUUAACUCAUGACUCUCCCUCGUUCAUUCCACCCCACACCUCUCAUCAGCUAAUUGUGUGAUUUCUAUCUUCACAACACCUCUCCUGUUGUAAACCCCUUGCCUCUUCUCAGAGCUACAACUUGGGCAGACCCUCAUCAUCUCUUGCCUUCUAAAUGAACUCAGCUCUCUACAGUGAUCCAAGUGAUUUUCCUUAAACGUAACCCAGCCAUGUGACUCCCUUUCUCAAUUCCAGGG